UACGUAGGUGGCAAGCGUUGUCCGGAAUUAUUGGGCGUAAAGCGCGCGCAGGCGGUCCUUUAAGUCUGAUGUGAAAGCCCCACGGCUCAACCGUGGAGGGUCAUUGGAAACUGGGGGACUUGAGUGCAGGAGAGAAGAGUGGAAUUCCGGGUGGAGCGGUGAAAUGCGUAGAGAUCCGGAGGAACACCAAAGGCGAAGGCAGUGUCCUGGGGAGUACCUGACGCUCAGGUGCGAAAGCCAGGGGAGGCGAACGGG
rnacentral:rRNA from 1 species